AUGACUCGGGACAUGGAUGCUGAGACGGCGGCCCCGGAUGGUGGGCUGCAUGGUUGGCUCUUCGGCGGGCACUAUGGCGGCGAUGGUGGCUCUCCUCUUGGUCGUGUGGGCGACGAGGGGGUAGUGUCAGGUGGCUCGGGCUCGCACUCCUUCGCUAGGGCGACGCCCAGAUCCAGAUAUGGGAGUCUGGAAUCACCGCGGUUGCCUUGGUGGCCUCGUGUGGCACGGGUGAUUUGCCGAGCGAAAGCUCCGCGCUUUUGCGCCGACGCUCAUGGGCGCCGCUUUUUUCUUGAAGACGUCGUUGUGGAUCUCCUCUCUGUGCCAGGGUUCUGA
rnacentral:rRNA from 1 species